rnacentral:rRNA from 1 species
GACGAACGCUGGCGGCGUGCUUAACACAUGCAAGUCGAACGGAAAGGCCCUGCUUUUGUGGGGUGCUCGAGUGGCGAACGGGUGAGUAACACGUGAGUAACCUGCCCUUGACUUUGGGAUAACUUCAGGAAACUGGGGCUAAUACCGGAUAGGAGCUCCUGCUGCAUGUGGGGGUUGGAAAGUUUCGGCGGUUGGGGAUGGACUCGCGGCUUAUCAGCUUGUUGGUGGGGUAGUGGCUUACCAAGGCUUUGACGGGUAGCCGGCCUGAGAGGGUGACCGGCCACAUUGGGACUGAGAUACGGCCCAGACUCCUACGAGAGGCAGCAGUGGGGAAUAUUGCACAAUGGGCGGAAGCCUGAUGCAGCAACGCCGCGUGCGGGAUGACGGCCUUCGGGUUGUAAACCGCUUUCGCCUGUGACGAAGCGUGAGUGACGGUAAUGGGUAAAGAAGCACCGGCUAACUACGUG